rnacentral:rRNA from 1 species
AUGACUCAACUUUAUGAAACUAGGAGAAAAUGGGCGAAGCCUUACUUCAUGGGUGUGUUUUGUGCAAAAAUGAUAAGCACACAGCGGAGUGAAAGCGCAAACCAGAUGUUGAAAACUUAUAUGCCCCCAGCAAGCCCAAUGCAUGUUUUUGUGAGGCAGUACAUGCGGUUGCAGUUCGACCGCGAACGCAGCGAGAGCUAUGAAGAGAAGAGGACCAUGAUUGGUGGUGUUGUGAGACGUACGAACCUUGCCAUAGAACGUCAUGCCAGCAAAAUAUAUAUUAGGAGUAUGUUUGAGGAAUUUGGGUGCCUCCUAGUUGAAGGAACAACCUACAGUGUAACUGAAGUUGAGAGGCUAAGGAAGUACAGGACCACUCACAACAAUGCAGAAAAAGGGAGAAGUGGAGCAGAGUUGAGUAUGAGGUUACCAUAA